ACCUCAGCUCAAGCAAGAAAACCCGCUGAACUUAAGCAUAUCAAUAAGCGGAGGAAAAGAAACUAACAAGGAUUCCCCUAGUAACGGCGAGUGAAGAGGGAAAAGCUCAAAUUUUAAAUCUACCUGGUUCCCAGGUCGAAUUGUAUUUUGAAGAAUCGAUAUCGGUGUUGAGGUCUGGUUCAAGUUCUUUGGAACAAGACAUCAUGGAGGGUGAGAAUCCCGUGCAUGAUCAGACCAAGAUACUUUAUAUUCGUUUUCUAAGAGUCGAGUUGUUUGGGAAUGCAGCUCAAAUUGGGUGGUAGACUUCACCUAAGGCUAAAUAUCAGCGAGAGACCGAUAGCGAACAAGUACUGUGAAGGAAAGAUGAAAAGCACUUUGAAAAGAGAGUUAAAUAGUACGUGAAAUUGUUGAAAGGGAAACGAUUGAAGUCAGUCAUGCUAGUGAAAAUUCAGUUUGACGGGUUUUGGGUUUAGGAGUAAGAGAUAGGGUCAAACCAUCUCUCUUUUAAACUUGGGAUUUGUCGGAUGCACUUUUUCUUUGGCAGGUCAGCGUCGAUUUCGGGGGUUGUAAAAUACUUGGGGGAAAGUAGCUCUGCUUCGGGAGAGUGUUAUAGACCUUGGGAGAUGCAGCCCGUGGGAUCGAGGAUUGCAGCAAAUGCCUUUGGCUUGUCUUCUGAUCUUUGAUUGUUACCUCGUUUAUGACAACAUUCUUGCCAUCGAUGAGUACUAGUGGUUAUGGGUUAGAAUGAUCAAAAAUUUGCUAAGGAUGCUGACGUAAUGGCUUUAAACGACCCGUCUUGAAACACGGACCAAGGAGUCUAACAUAUGUGCGAGUGUUUGGGUGACAAACCCGGAACGCGUAAUGAAAGUGAAUAUGGGUGGGAUCCUCCUCGUGGGGAGCACCAUCAACCGAUCAGGAUAUUUUUUGAUAGAUUUGAGUAAGAGCACAUCUGUUGGGACCCGAAAGAUGGUGAACUAUGCCUGAAUAGGGUGAAGCCAGAGGAAACUCUG
rnacentral:rRNA from 1 species